rnacentral:rRNA from 1 species
GAUGAACGCUGGCGGCGUGCCUAAUACAUGCAAGUCGAGCGAACGGACGAGAAGCUUGCUUUUCUGAUGUUAGCGGCGGACGGGUGAGUAACACGUGGAUAACCUACCUAUAAGACUGGGAUAACUUCGGGAAACCGGAGCUAAUACCGGAUAAUAUUUUGAACCGCAUGGUUCAAAAGUGAAAGACGGUCUUGCUGUCACUUAUAGAUGGAUCCGCGCUGCAUUAGCUAGUUGGUAAGGUAACGGCUUACCAAGGCAACGAUGCAUAGCCGACCUGAGAGGGUGAUCGGCCACACUGGAACUGGAACACGGUCCAGACUCCUACGGGAGGCAGCAGUAGGGAAUCUUCCGCAAUGGGCGAAAGCCUGACGGAGCAACGCCGCGUGAGUGAUGAAGGUCUUCGGAUCGUAAAACUCCGUUAUUAGGGAAGAACAUAUGUGUAAGUAACUGUGCACAUCUUGACGGUACCUAAUCAGAAAGCCACGGCUAACUACGUG